GGGCUGGGGCUCAGCGGUAGAGCACUCCCCUAGCACGAGCGAGGCCCUGGGUUCAAUCCUCAGCACCACA
rnacentral:tRNA from 1 species